rnacentral:lncRNA from 1 species
GCUCUGGAGGAGGUUGACGACUCCGAAAUGGUGGAACUGAUGGACACCUGUGAUGAGACCUCUGCUGCAGCACCAGAACAAACAAAGGAGACUAGUCAAAACACCCCCUUUGAGCAGUUGGAACAGGCCAAAGUCCCUACUGAGGACAAGGAUGUACCAACUCUUCAACCAUCAGAGGGGAAGCAGAAAGAACCACCAGAGUUGAGUGUUCCACUUCCCCGGAGAGGGGAUGGCGAACAGGAAGAGGAGGAGGGGCCAGGGGCAGGUGAUGAUUGGCCCAUGACUAGGGUGUGAGAGGGCCAUCCCUAUGCAGGACACUGUGGAAGCCCUGGACAUCACUGAGGAAGGUUUGGAGACUCUGCUGUGCUACCUGGAGCUGCACUGUCAGCAGGGGGUAGAGCUGCUCCACCCCACCCUCUCCACCUGUAAGAUGGUCAGCUCUGCAAACUCACCUAGAUUUUGCAGAACCUCGACAAGUACUGCAAACUCACUCCGAACACCUGGCCAGUCUGUUACAGUAGACUGUUUACCUGUAAGAAACAAAGUCGUGUUGGAUAGGUUGUGUUUGUGUAUAGUAUGUAGGUGUGUAUUAUUUGCUCAUGUGACGUUUUUGUGGUCAAGUAAAGUCAGGUACGUUUGUCAUGUGGUUUGUUAUUUUCAUGUUCAGGCAAUAGAUUACUAA